AGAGGGUGAGACGGUGUGGAAGAGAAAAGGUGCCAACAAUAGAGGACAAGGAGGGCGACCAGAAUUGCAUUUUCUUCACCUGCGCUGGUAGCCUAUGAUGCACCUUUAUGAUGCACCUACAUCUAUGUCUGAGAGAUGUAUGGGCUUAGAAGGACUGGAACCUAUUUUUCACAACUGUAUAACUUUGUGCUUUUGUAAGUAAUAGAACACCUGAUGGUUAGUAAAUAGCAAUACACUUUUGAUCAUGGCACAAGCAUAUCUCUUCCUUCACAUGUAACGAGGGAUGCAUACACUCGAGAUAGUGUUCACCUUUUUGCAUGCUAGCUAUAUAACACUCACGUAUAGAUUGUCACAACUAGCUCGAUGUGAAAGCUACACUGCUUUAUACUUUUGCUAACUAUGGAAUAAAAGUUGUUUGCCUACGAGACAAGAUCUGUUAGCUCGCUGGGAAAGAAGGUUUACAUCCAAAACAUGCAUGGUCCCGGCUGUAUAUUAACACAUCUAAAAUAUGAUUGAGUGUAAUCCAUAUGUUUGGCUAAGAUUUACCCCGAAAGCACCACUUAAUUUCCGUGUAUGCCUUCCCCAAAAGCACUGUCCGGAAGUAAUCCAUCAUGAGCAGUUCAGCGAGCUUGCGUCGGCGAAACGCGAGUGGGGCGAGUGGGUGCACAACAAGCCCGUGGUGACCCAUAAACAACACUGGAUAUAAGAAUAUACAUCACUCAAAAAAUUGUUUUGAUGGUUCCAAGAUAGCAUGAUAGUGUGCCACAAGUUACCUAUAAUAAGUUGUCAUGUGUGUACCACGGAAGAUCCAAUCUCAAAGGUGUUCACAAUACAUCAGUGUGACACAAGUAUGGCUACAAAAAUCAUCACAAUAAAGUUGAAAAUGCUGUAAACGGUGGGAGCAAUUCUACAGGUUGGUUCGCGCAACCGUUCUUUUUCCGGGAUCAAGAGGCCCAGAAGAGCACUCAUGCGAGCACAACAGUUUUUUGCCUGCACGAUUGUCAGCCCUCGGGAUGAAAAAACAAGACUGAGUUGGCCCAGCUCAACACACUUCACGGGAGAAGAGAGAGUUAUGAUUCCCUGCUAGCACAUAAGGGCUGAUGUGGAGGUGAGUGAGAGGCAUAGUUUUAAAAACCAGACCAAACCAUUGGUUAGACCCAAAGAAACCCAGAUCUAGUGUGACCUCAAGCUCCGACAUACGACCCUCCCUCCCCUCAGUCAAACCAGUGAAAACUGGUCAAAUAGACUGGUUAAUUGGGGAAUAAACCGGGUGUAUCGACCAAAAUGUCAUAGGAGAAGAGGAGUCGACAGGCCCGUGCAUAUAUUCGCAUAUAUACACUACUUGUAAGUUGUAACCAUACCCGUGACACUAAGGAGUAAAGGAAGAAAAUGAAACAAGGAACAGCAAAUCACUGGCAACAAACCUCGUUCACAUGCAUCCUAUCAGGAAUCCAUCAGCUUUAAAAAUGGAUUAGCUCUAUAUUCAUGUGUAUGUGUCGGCCCAUAGUAUUGGCCGGAAGCAAUCAAUUGUUAUCAGUUCGGCCAGUUUAAAUGGGCGAGACGUAAGCCGGGGCGAGGGACACGCAAUGAGGCCGUGGAAGACAUGGUGACUACUAGACAACAUACAAUUUGACACCUAUCAAAUUCUAUCCUGAUCUAGUAGAGUGUGUGUUCUCGUUAUUCACAUGUCUUGGGAAGCACAUACAAAGUACACAAUUAGUUCUGGUAGAUCCAAGAUAUCAUCACCCGCAAAAAAAAAGAAAGAUCCAAGAUAUCAUGAUAGUGUGGCAGAAGUUACCUGUAAUUAGUUGUCUUGCAUCUAUGUACCACCGAUGCUCCAAGCUCAAAGAUGUUCACAAUACGUCAUAUGUGACACGAGUCUGCCUACAAACAAUUAUCAGCAUAAAGUUGAAAAACCUAUUGGACGCUGUACUUUUGUCUUGAUAAGUAAUGUGUUCAAGCGAGUGGAACUAAAGUUGGAAAAUGUAGAUGUAGAGUCAGCAAAUCAAUCCCAGAUUAUCAAGAUUUGAUAUGGUUCUCUCUGUUCACACUUGGGCUGCUCGUGGUUCUACCAUUUGCAAUACUCGAUUUUGGUAAUAGCAUUCCACGUAAUUAACCCCUCCUCUCUUUUUCUAAAAGAUAAUCUCUUCCUCAUUCAUCCAUCGAUUCAACACUAACAGGUGAAAAAUUGACGCAUAAAUUAUUUUACCAGUGGCAAAAUCAUAAUUCGGUGAAAGGAAAUUUAGGAAAAUGCAAUCACUAUAUAUAAUGUACCUUGUAUUAGCACCUAGGGAAUACAUUCCUUGUAUUAGAUUUAUUCGUUUUUGUAACCCAUAUAAACCCCAAAAUAUAUAAAUAUAUACUCUAGGAAUUCCUAGUGUUAGCCGCAAAAAAUGUGCAUCUACCCCAAAAAUAGUUAUCCACGUAAUGGGAAAGUUGGUUACCGAUGGCCGGGGAGGACCCCAUGGCGGAGCACGGCCUCAAUCUUGCCAUCAAAGACUACCCAUUCGCUAACGAUGGGCUCCUCAUCCGGGACGCCAUCAAGGGGUGGCUACUGGUAUACGUCUCCCAGUAUUACCCGGAAGCUGCCACCAUCGCCAGCGACGUGGAACUACAGGCGCUCUAGAAGGAGGUGCGCACCGAGGGACAUGGCGACAAGAAGGAUGCGCCCUGGUGGCCUAAACUAGAUAUGCAGGAGAACCUAGCGCACAAGCUCACCACCAUCAUGUGGGUCGUGGCGGCGCACCACGCGGCGGUAAACUUCGAGCUGUAAGACUUCGGGGGACACUUCCUGAACCGCCCCUCCAUCGCACACACCAACAUGCCGGUGGAGGAGCCAGUGGACACCGCGACCUUUGAGUAGUUCCUGGACAACCCGGACCAGGCGCUCCGAAAAUGCUUCCCGUUGCAGGUGCAUGCAAAGCUGGUGAUGACGGUGUUGGACGUGUUUUCCAGUCACUCUCCUGACGAGGAGUACCUCGGAGGGAUGGAGAGUGCACCGUGGGGUGACGACACCAUAAUGCAGGCGGCAUACCUAAGGUUCAGCGAGUGUCUUAAGGAGGUGGACGGGAUCAUCGACAUAAGGAACAAGGAGAGGAAGCUCAAGAACCGGUGCCGCGCCUGCAUCAUGCCGUACCAGCUCAUGAAACCAUUCUCCUAGCCCGGCGUCACCGGCAAGGGCAUCCCCAACAGCGUCUCCAUCUGAUCCUACAGAGCUACAAUAAACCACAUGUCUAUGAUCCAUUUUCCAGCUGAUGAGUUCGACGCACUUGUGGAAAACCUGUUGUGAGGUGCUUGCCGUCUGAACACCUACAACGUCGUGAAAACUCACAAGCACCAAUCUUACAUUCUUAAUAAGUUGGUCCCAAUUCUCUCAACAUGCAAAGUGUCCGCCUUAACGACACCACUAAGGGCAUGCAUUUAAGUCUUUUCUCCCACUAACCCAUGCAUAAUCUGCCACAUAGCCAAACGUCCCGACUAAGGCCAUGCAUUUAGGUCUUCUCUCUCACUAAGCCAUACACAAUCUGCCACAUAUGCAAAUGUAUAAAUUACAAUUAUUUUCGUAUUGAUCUAUGGAUGUAAUGCUGCCACAUCAUACAUGCAUGGUAGUCAUCCUUUACAUAUUUGUUUGAAAUGGUAUUUUUGGAGACUUUCUUUUAGAGACUUCCUUUGCAUGUUAGUCAAAAGUAUAUAUAUUCUAUUUUUAGAGACUUUCUUAUAUUUUUCCGUCUUAUAUUUUCUUUUCAUUAGAUUUAGUUAUUUUUACCAACUAUUUACGCAUUUUUUUAACAAAGUUACUGCAACAACGUGCGGGGUAUCAUCUAGUUAUUACAAGUUUUUGACAAUCUUCACAGAAACUCCGACAGAACAAAAGGCAAAAACCGAAAACCACCAUCUCCAGCAAGAUGCUAAGAAGACCAGUUGUUGGUUAAGCCAAGGCCGUCACUGUUGCCGUAAUAGAUUAUUUGCUUCAUUCUUUCAAAUUAAUAUUUCUAUAAUGUAUAAACUAUGGCGGGUACUUCAGUUCAAUGAUCUAUACAUCAAAGCGAAAGCUUAUUUCAAGAGAAUAAUAAGAAGACUCGACGUUUCACAGAAGGCAUGGCAAAUGUUGGUUUCUCUUUGUAGAUAUAAUCUACAUCAUCUACAACUUCAGUUUUGAAAGUUGGGGUUUGCUUCGUACAACUCCUUUAGAAAUGUGUACAAAUCACUUCUUCUUCGAUGUACAACCCCCUUAGACACAUCGGUGUACCAGAUCUGUCCAUACCCCUUCUUAACAAAGGGCAUGAUGGUCUUUUUAAAGUACAUUUCUUUAUAUACGGCUUGUGUACGUCCUGCACACACUCUCUCCGCCCUGGGCCGAUCCAUUUUAUACAUUUUUUCGCUUCGGUAAACCUUCAAAAAAUAAAUGCCUUGAUAACAUUCGAACCCAGCACCUAUUUGCUUAGUACAACCACAAUAACGAAUUGGCCAACUUUCUUAUUGUGUAUCAUUACCUUCUUUUUCUUCUUCAAAUAUAACACUAACCAAUGAGAGCCUAUUUAUUUUUUCUUUUCAGUUUUCAUUGGUCCGAUUUUUUUUUCAAUUUCCUUUUCUUUUGAAAAAAUCAUAAACUAUUUUUAAAUCAUGAACUUUUUCUUCAAUUCAUGAACAUUUUAUUAAAUCCAUGAAUUUUGUUUUCAAAUCGUCAAACUCUUUUCAACUUUUAUGAAUUUUUUACAAAGCCCGCGAUUUUUUUCAAAAUUAAUGAACAUUUUCAGAUCAAUAAACACUUGGGCCGACCCUGCUAUUUCUUUUCAGAACUAUGAACAUUUUUCAAAUCUGCAUCAACCUAGUAGUCAGGUCAGGUGAGGUUUGGCGGGUCAAGCUCUCCCAGAUCCAUACCCGAAUGUUUAACGGGUGUACAGUCUGCACACGAUCCUAGAAGGAGGCCCAUGCUGUAAGCGGAUGGGUGACCCGACCCAAUAGUACACCCGUCGGGUCUAACAUUUCAAUUCAUUUUUAUUUUGCCGAACUGACUUAAUCUUGCGUUUAUCAUUCCUUUGAACUCUGCCGAUUGCUUUCUUUGUCCCCUUUAUAGUACAGCACAGCCAGCCGUGGGCUCAAGCAAGCGAGGUGGGACUAAAUGAGCUACUCCUAUGUUCAUUUUGUUGCCAACCACGUACAACACCAUUUUGAAGUUACAUACAUUUUUCUUGAGCAAAUGAAGUUACAUACAUAGACUAGUAGUAUUUAUACAAUUCAACUAUGGGCCUUACCAUUCUGAAGCGAUCGACAAGAAAUAAAAGGCAGAGCAAAGGCGCAUACAUGCAUCCUUACCGGCAGUGUUGGUGUGUACUAAACUAACCUAGAAAAAUAGUGUGUACUAAACAAAUUAAUUACCAUGUAUCUUCACCACACACCUCGUAUGAAAUAAAAAUGUAUUACCCAUUGGGCCACCCAAAGGGCAAAACCCCAUGCCCAUACCCCACUCAUGAUUAAUCAGGUUACCCAUCGGGCUUAUCAAUGGUUGAAUAUGGUGACCCAUACCCUACCCAUUGAGGUCAGGUGUCCAUGGGCGCGGUCGCCCAUGGGUCGGAUUACCGGGUUGAGACGUGAGCGAUGUCGUUGCCUAGUUGGGCCAAGGCCUAAUCAUCUUUUUCUACUUUUUUAUUUUCUUUAUCCGUUAAUUCAUUUUUCUUUUCUUGAACUUUAUUAAUAUUUUUUUCAUAAGUUCAAAAGGUUGAAAUGUUGUUUGGAAUACAAAAAUUGUACUUGUUUUUAAAUAUUGUUUAUAAUUUUUAAAAAUGUUCUGGAAUUUCAAAAGAUGUUCCCGCUUUAUACUACUUUUUGUUCACAAAUUUAAGAAAUGUUUGCAUUCCAAAACAAGUUGAUAAAUUAUUUUUUUAAACACGUGGUUUGCAAUUUGUGUUCAACAUCAGUUGUUGAGAAUUUGUUAACAUUUUUGAGAAAACAGUGCCUACGCCUGCUCCAUGGUGAAGCCGGCAUGCACAGAAGGCACGGUAGCCGGGGCGGAAUCGUCGGAGUCUGUCUCCAUCAUGGUGUCGUCCUCGUCAUCGGAUACCUCGGGCAAGCUGGCUGGCAAGCCGGCCUCGAUCCGGCUGGCACGGCGGCCAUGCCAGGCGGAAGCAAGGUGGCUACCGCGUGCUUCAUCUCCGGUGAUAGAUUGUCCCAUAGUGCUUUCCCGCUGGCGGUCAUGGCGGAUGCAGAGAAAGGGAGGAGGAUGGUGGAGGGGCUGAUGUUGUGGAGUGGAGUUAGCCUCGUGUGGCCACCUUUAUAUAGCGGAUUCCGAUGAGGCGAGGCGUCCGGGUGCGUCAAUGAGCAGCGUCGUAGCGGGUUUCUCAGCCGGUGAGCCUACUUAAUGGUCGCAGACGGAUGGGCAACGACAUUAAACUAGCGCUGUUGAUAUCUGUUCCACCCCGUUCAGUCACGCGUCUCCGGCAUUGAACGGGCGCGGACACCCAAGAAGCAUCGCGGGUAGCGUCCUCGGCCGGCGUGCCGCUUGAAUGGCGAAGGCAGCGAGAGGUCGCGUUCGUCUUUAGGCGUAUUCAAUGUUGAGCGGCGCGCUCUACAACGGCAUGAAUGUGGGCAGCUAGCGCCGGGUAGGAGCAUGCGUGGAAGGGGGAAGGGGGUUUUGGUGGGCCAUGGCAGCGAGAAACGAGCUUGAGAUCUGUCCGGACUCCCGCAAACCUCCCCCAUGUUUCUCUCCGAUUUGUGAGAGAAAUUGCGCCCGGACCGCCCCUCGGACCGAUACAGAUCGGCAUUGGAUGACUUCCGCGGUUCGGAUGGUUGUGAGAGAUUUAUGAGUCCGCCUUGGAGAUUCCCUAACUAUUACUCAUUCGGUCCCAUAAUGUAAGAGCAUUUUUAACACUAGAUUAUUGGAUGGAGGGAGUAUCAAACAAGUUUAUAUUCAAUAACAAAACCUAAGUAUAUACAAGAUUAGUUUGAACUUUAACAAUAAUACUGAGCAUUUUGCUCCAUAACCUCAGUCAAAGUGGUCUGGUUGUUCACACAACACUUUUGUUUUUGUACAAAUGACAGCCUAUGCAAUCAAAAAAAGAUGUAAGGGCAUCUUCAACGGCGACCCGCAGAUUUUCUCCCCCAUCCGUUCAUAGACAGGGGUACAAGUCCGUGGAUGCAGGAAACCACCAUCCAGUACGAACAAACUUGACGAAAUUCAUUCAAACUGGGGGAUUUACAUAAAAGGUCCAUAUUUCGACCAUUUAACAUAAAAAAACUAGAAAAAAAAAAUCCAAAACCCUAUACCAGACGACCACCUCGUACACGUGGCCGCCCUGCCCUGUCACCCUGCCGUCACCCUUUGUGUCGCCUCGUCGUUGUCGUCCCUCCAGCGGCGGAACGCCACCGGAGGGCCACGACGUCAUCCUUGUCCGGCGCUGCCUGCCACUCAUGUAGGAUUCAGUCCGCCUCCUACUACGCUGGGUGGGGUGCCGCCGCGACCACUGCCGAUGUUGCCUUCGGAGCCUAGGUGGUGGCCUUGCCACUACCGGCAUUGGCGGAGCAGUCAUGAAGUGCCCAUUCCUCGCCGAUGUUGGCGAGCUCGCCUUCAAGAGCGGCGACGGCCCCUAGCGGCCAUCUCCACGGUGGUCACGGAGCGGUCGAUUGCCCACACAGUGGUGAGGUCAGGGGCGUUGUAGACCCAGUUCGAUGCCAUGUUACUCUUUGCGAACGCGGAGCGGCGACCGACGUUGGGCCGGUCGUACAUCACCUACUGCCUUGCCGCGUGCUCCACCUCAGAUACAAUGGCCCUCGAUCUCGAGGCACCGCCAUAACCGCCUCCUCCGAGGUAGUGGAGGAGGUGGACACACUCCUUCUUGAUUCUGGGCGACGGUUCCUCGAAGACGGGGAGUUGGUGGCGGCGCGGCUGCGACAAAUGCACGUCCAUGGGGUUGUGCUGGCUGCGCGGCAAGAACGCUGGCUCCUCCAUGACCCAGGGGCGAUGACGGCUCGUCAUUCAUGCGGUGCCCGAUUUGGGCGCCGCGGUUGUGUUGGGGCAAGCCUGGUUCGUCCUUCAUAGGCCGGAGCGGGGACAACGGCUCGCGCUUCACACAGUGGCACGGCAGGGACGCCGGCUCCUACUUGACAUGCACCGGCGAUGGUGGCAACGAGCCCCUGUGAUUGUGCGACCACUCUGUCAUUAUCUCGAUCUAACGGACCACAUCUUUGUCCGUCAGAGCGGCUUUCUUAAGGAGUCAGGGCGCCUACUGCUGCGAUGUCUGGUCCUCCUCAUCGCCAGAGGAUAUGACAAUCUCGUCCUUCGCGUAGGAGCCAGCCGUCGUCGAUGCCUGAAGGAAAUAUGCCCUAGAGGCAAUAAUAAAGUUAUUAUUUAUUUCCUUAUGUAAUGAUAAAUAUUUAUUAUUCAUGCUAGAAUUGUAUUAACCGGAAACAUAAUACAUGUGUGAAUACACAUAGACAAACAUAAUGUCGCUAGUAUGCCUCUACUUGACUAGCUCGUUGAUCAAAGAUGGUUGUGUUUCCUAGCCAUAGACAUGAGUUGCCAUUUGAUUAACGGGAUCACAUCAUUAGGAGAAUGAUGUGAUUGACUUGACCCAUUCCGUUAGCUCAGCACUUGAUCGUUUAGAAUGUUGCUAUUGCUUUCUUCAUGACUUAUACAUGUUCCUAUGACUAUGAGAUUAUGCAACUCCCGUUUACCGGAGGAACACUUUGUGUGCCACCAAACGUCACAACAUAACUGGGUGAUUAUAAAGGAGCUCUACAGGUGUCUCCAAAGGUAUAUGUUGAGUUGGCGUAUUUCGAGAUUAGGAUUUGUCACUCCGAUUGUCGGAGAGGUAUCUCUGAGCCCUCUCGGUAAUGCACAUCACUAUAAGCCUUGCAAGCAUUGUGACUAAUGAGUUAGUAGCGGGAUGAUGCAUUACGAAAUGAGUAAAGAGACUUGCCGGUAAUGAGAUUGAACUAGGUAUUGAGAUACCGACGAUCGAAUCUCGGGCAAGUAACAUACCAAUGACAAAGGGAACAACGUAUGUUGUUAUGCGGUUUGACCAAUAAAGAUCUUCGUAGAAUAUGUAGGAGCCAAUAUGAGCAUCCAGGUUCCGCUAUUGGUUAUUGACCGGAGACGUGUCUCGAUCAUGUCUACAUAGUUCUCGAACCUGUAGGGUCCGCACGCUUAACGUUCAGUGACGAUCAGUAUUAUGAUUUUUUGUGUUUUGAUGUACCGAAGGUAGUUCGGAGUCCCUGAUAUGAUCACGGACAUGACGAGGAGUCUCGAAAUGGUCGAGACAUAAAGAUCGAUAUAUUGGAUGGCUAUGUUCGGACACCGGAAUAGUUUCGGGUGGUUUCGGGCAUAUACCUGAGUACCGGGGGGUUACCGGAACCACCCCGGGGGGUUAAUUGGCCUCAUGGGCCCUAAGUGGAGAAGAGGAGGGGCGGCUAGGGCAGGCCGCGUGCCUCCUCCCCCUCUAGUCUGAAUAGGACAAGGAGGGGGGGGGGGGCGACGCCCCCCCUUUCCUUCCUCUCCUCUCUCCCUUCCUUCCCCCUCCUACUCCAACUAGGAAAAGGAGGAGUCCUACUCCCGGUGGGAGUAGGACUCCUCCCUGGCGCGCCUCCUCCUGGCCGCCCGCCCCUCCCCCUUGAUCCUUUAUAUACGGGGGCUGGGGGGGCACCUCUAGACACAACAAUUGAUCUCUUGAUCUCUUAGCCGUGUGCCGUGCCCCCCUCCACCAUAUGCCACCUCGGUAAUAUCAUAGCGGUGCUUAGGCAAAGCCCUGCGUCGGUAGCAUCAUCGACACCGUCAUCACGCCGUCGUGCUGAUGGAACUCUCCCGCAAAGCUCUGCUGGAUCGGAGUUCGUGGGACGUCAUCGAGCUGAACGUGUGCUGAACUCGGAGGUGUCGUACGCUCGGUACUUGAUCGGUCGGAUUGUGAAGACGUACGACUACAUCAACCGCGUUGUGCUAAUGCUUCCGCUUUCGGUCUACGAGGGUACGUGGACACACUCUUCCCUCUCGUUGCUAUGCAUCACCAUGAUCUUGCGUGUGCGUAGGAUUUUUUUUGAAAUUACUACGUUCCCCAACAAUGCCGAUGGGUCAGAGAGCAUGUGUAGCGGUGCCAGAACCGUCAGAGGAGGAGCUCCCACCUACUCUGCCUACCGGCGCGGAGCAUCAUUACUCCGCCGAUGUGCUCGGAGAGGUCGAGGGGCUUGGGAACGAAGAUGGAGAAGGGGAGGGGGUGGUGCUCGGGGAGGGGGAGUGCGGUUCUGUGCGUCGCCGACCACGGCUUAAAUAGCCGCGGCCAAGCCAGGCGAAGGUGCAGUCAGCCUACUUCAAUGUGGCGUAGUGGCGGGAGUUGGUUCCUUGGGACGCGUCAUUCACAUUGAAACGUCUACGCCCGAAAGGUCGCAUCCGUCAGCGCCGCCCUCCCGUCCGGUGAAAUCGCGGCAUCAAUGUCGGCUGAUGCAUGCUUUGGACCGGCAUGAAUGCGGCACGGCAAGCGGAGCGGGCGCUCUGUGGAAAGCGCGGGAGAGGUGGCGAUUUUUUUUGGGUAGGCUAGUCAGACGCAGGCUUGGAAGCGACCGAGACGCCUGCAAAGACCACACGUUUGUCUCCGGUUUGCGGGAGAAAGUACAUUUGGACCGUCUUGCGAACCGAUACAGACCGGCAUUAGAUAACACAACACAUCUGAACCGUGCAGUCCGAACGGUUGCGGCAAUUUAAGGGUCACCAUUGGAGAUGCCCUAAAGGAUGCUAAGAAAAUGUAUGGACAAAGAUGAGAAACAUUAGGUGUGGGAGGAGAGAAGGUUAAGUGAGAGCGGUAGAAGAUGACGUGUGUGAGGAUAGAUAAGAUGACAAAAUUAUGUGCGUGAUCAUACAAGAUCUGUACAGGAUUAAUCGAACGGGAGCUGUACAAAUAUUUUGUCUUUCUCACUUGACUAUGACUUGAUAGCUAGGUAACUACUUUCUCAAUGGAGAAAGCCUUCGUCAUUUACCAUGACUACAUGUAUACGUAUGCACACACGCUUGUUAUCAAGAAACAUAUUUUCUCAGACAUGAUAAACAAUAAAGAGAUUUUGUCAGUCUUUUUCAGUGACAAAGUUGCUGAGGUAAUCAGGAUAAUUAAGCUGCAACAACUUGACGAAGUAAUGCACGUAUACCAGCUUUGUAAAUAUAUUGAGUUGCUGUACAUUGUAGUUAAGUAGAUUAAUUAAAUAAGGUAUAUUUGGAAUCUGCAGUAUUUAGAGCAUCUACAACCAUAAACACCAAAAUCCGGCUACCAAACACCCAUGGAUGCCUCCGUGACCAGGCAGCACACAAAAAAUUGAUUCCACAACUACGAGUGCCAUUUGGUCGCUGCCUCAUGGCCCUCCUAACCCUAGCAGCCCGCCUCCUAAUCUCGUCGCCAUCGUCGGAUCACCGCUAGACAAAGGCUGGCGGUGGAUGACGGCGGUGGCUGGGCCUUCCUCUAUCGUUGCUCUAGAUGCGGCCGCGGCAGAUUCUCAUGCAGGUCGCGUUGAUUUCUGACUGCCCAAUUUGAUUUAUUCUUCUCUAUUCUGAAGUGAUAAACGAAAUAACAAAUAUUCUACUCUUGUCGAUCCAUAUUAAUUGUCGUUGAUUUAGUACAAUUAUUUGCACAGUUGUAGCAUCAGUCUUUGUUUGCAUUUGCAAAUCUACAAUCUUCAUUUCCACGUGUUUGCUUCGCUGCGUCCACCGUCCAUUGUUGACGUGCCUAGUUUUCUUAAGCAUGUUUAUUAUUAUUGCCGCUACGAGCCUCGAAGGUUUUGUCGGUUUUUGUCUCCGCAUCUUAUACAACAUCGAUGGGAUCAGCUGUGAACAAGGGCAUCCACUACUAUAUUUGUCAAGUCCUUCGUGUCAGGUCACCUUGGUCGUCUCCCUCUAACCAUGUACCAUUCACAGCAAGAACGCCAUGUCUACACCUUCGAAACGGGUUACGUCGACAGCGGCGUGCCCACCCACUACGCUUCUGAUCCAUGCCCUCCGGCCCAAUCUCCCCCACGCCGCCGUUUGACCCCAUUCCGCAUCCUGGUGAGAGUCUUCAUCGGCAUCUGCACCUUCAUAGGCGUCCUCUCCCUCCUCAUCUGGCUCAUCUACCGUCCGCGGACGAUCCAGAUGGCCGUGGACUCGGCAACACUCUGGAGCUUCAACCUGAACACGACGACGAGCCCCCCGCUGCUGUCCUACAACCUCACAGCCGGUGUGUCCAUCUCGAACCCGAGCAAACGAGUAUCCAUCUACUACGACCGGCUGCAGGUGGAGGGAUUCUACCAAGAAGAGCGGUUCGGCCGUGCCACCUUGCCGUUGUCGUUCCAGGGCGUCCGGCGGACCGACACGGUGCGAGCCAUGCUCCAGGGGAGCUCCGCCGGAUACUUCGAUAAUGCGACGGGAAGUGGAACGGGUGUCUUCCCCGUGGACCUGUGGGUCGUUGGCACCGUGCGGUACAAGUAUGGCGAGCUGACGACAACGUCAGCGAGCACGCUGUCGGUGAAGUGCCCGCUUGUGCUGCAGUUGAUGGAGGCCUAAACCAGGGUCGAGUGUAUUGUGAUCAGCUCUUGAAUCUACUAAUGAUUUUGUUAGAAUAAAUCGGAGGCAUACCGUUGAUCAUCCGAGGAUCAAGCAAUCACACGAACACGGCACAGAGAUUUGUUAACGAGGUUCACCGAUAUGGCUACAUCCCCGGGGCUUGACUACGGGCGCUCCUUCCUGUGACACCGUCGGCGAGCAUGCUGCUGGUGAAGUGCCCGCUUGUGCUGCAGCUGAUGGAGGCCUCAACCAGGGUCGAGUGUAUUGUGAUCAGCUCUUGAAUCUACUAGAACUUUAUAUCCUGGCCGAUGCUGGUGUACUGCCCUCAUCUGAAAGACGGCAAUAGAUGCAAGUGCCCGUCCUUGAUAGACCCGACUUGCUCGAAGUUUUUCUUUUUCGGUUUUGCUAAUUCUCAUCUUGAUGAGAAUUGGCGAAGUCUUAGCUAAUUAACUCCUAUGCUAUUUGAUUAACCUUUUUUUUCUUGAAUUGUGACUUCCUCCGAAUUGGUUCAGUCAUUUCAGUAAAACAUACGAAGGGUUUUCUAUAGACGGGAAUGGAGAGGGUACGUAUGGUUCCCAGCAUGACGGGUGUAGAUCUUCGAAACUAGACCCUAUGUUGAUUGGUUUCAAUGGUUUUUUAUUUUGACUUCAAAUUAGCCACGUGGAAUCUAAUUUAGAAGCCCUUGUUGAUAAGAAGCCAAUGAAGAAACUGGAUCGCUAAUCGGUUUAGUCUACAAAGCCAAUGGGAUAAUGUCACCAUGAUUUGUUCUUGGUUGCGCCCACUUAGCAACUCCACUUUUUCCCUGUAUGUGCACCUAGUAAUGAUUUCUUUCGCAUGUCAAGCAUACUUUGGGAUUAACUUCAUUUUAUAGUGCAGGAACAAUUUUGCACAAGAUUGGAUCGCGCUACAUGCUCGAAUCUAACAUUGGCUCGUUCGAUUUAUGUAGUGGACUACAUAACGACCGUUCGAUUGUUGCCAAACUCUCCCACUCGAGCUCUAGCGCCACAAGGCACAUGAGGGCAGCCGUGCGUGGUUUUUCGUUGAACCAGGCAAAGAAGAGCAAACAUUCUUUUUGCAGGCGCAUGAGUCUGAGAAGGUCACCACCAAGCGACCUGCUGUGUAACCCCCUCCCCUCCCCCCACACGCGUGCGCACGCUCUAUAUUUUUAUGGGCCAGCCCAUUACCGGAUUUCCCCUUCACCAGUUUGGGAAGCUUCUAGAUCUGAACCGAUUUUUUUCCUCUUGGUUUUCAUUUUUUUUCUUUUUUUUAAUUUUCAUUUUUCAUUUUACUUUUCUACUUUCCUUUCUCAUUUUCUUUUUAUAUUCCAUUUUAUUUCUUUUUUUCCAUUUUUGUUAUUAAUNNNNNNNNNNNNNNNNNNNNNNNNNNNNNNNNNNNNNNNNNNNNNNNNNNNNNNNNNNNNNNNNNNNNNNNNNNNNNNNNNNNNNNNNNNNNNNNNNNNNNNNNNNNNNNNNNNNNNNNNNNNNNNNNNNNNNNNNNNNNNNNNNNNNNNNNNNNNNNNNNNNNNNNNNNNNNNNNNNNNNNNNNNNNNNNNNNNNNNNNNNNNNNNNNNNNNNNNNNNNNNNNNNNNNNNNNNNNNNNNNNNNNNNNNNNNNNNNNNNNNNNNNNNNNNNNNNNNNNNNNNNNNNNNNNNNNNNNNNNNNNNNNNNNNNNNNNNNNNNNNNNNNNNNNNNNNNNNNNNNNNNNNNNNNNNNNNNNNNNNNNNNNNNNNNNNNNNNNNNNNNNNNNNNNNNNNNNNNNNNNNNNNNNNNNNNNNNNAUUUUCAAUUUGCGAACAUAUUUAAAAUAAUGAACAUUUUUCAAAACGAUGAACAGUCUUUGAAAUUGUGACCAAUUUUCAAAUAAGUGAAUAUUUUUCUUAAUUCCAAACAUUUUUUUAAGUCGUGAACAUUUUUUGCAAAUUCACUAGAAUUUUUCAAAUUCUAGCACAUUUUUUUAAGUUUGUGUAUUCUUUCGAACAGGGGAACCAUGAUUUUAAACCAAAGAAUAUUUUUCCAUAUUUCACAAUAAUUUUUUAAAUUUAGGAACAUUUUUUAUUUUUGACAAACUUGUUUCGAGUUCAUGAAUACUUUUGAAUCAGCAAAGUUUUUUUGAAUUUUUUUGCUGAAAUUUAGAAGCAAUAUGCAAAAUUUUCAAACAUUUUUGAAGAUUUGAGCAUAUUAUAGAAAUUCAAGAACAUUUUUUGAAUUUGUGAGCAUUUUUUGAAAUAGACAAACAAAUUGUGAAUCUGUGAGAAUUUACCAUUUUUGAACACGUGAACAUCUGUGAGUAUCACAAAUAUUUUAGGAUUUGUCAAAUAUUUUUCAAAACUAUGAUUUUUCUUAAUUCAUGGGAAUUUUAUGAUUUUCACUCUUUGUUUUUGAGAAAUUGCAAAAAAUAUUAAAUUUUAUGAUUUUCACUCUUUGUUUAAAAUCCUGAAUUGUUUUAAAAAGAAAACACUGAAAAACUAAAAAUUGAAAUGAGAAAAAGGUGGACACGUCACCCUAUACAUGGGCCGGCCCAAAAAGGGCAUAGGGAGGAGCUGGGGUUGCACGUUCGUUCGAUCCAUGCUGCGCAGCUCACCAAAUUGGCGGUCUCUCACGCGAGUAGAACACUUUUUUCUGCAUGAUUGUCAGCCCCUAGGAAGAGGAAGUAAGACCAAGUCGGCCCAACUAGCACAUAAGGGUUGAUGUGGUGGUGAGUGAGAGACAUAGUUUUAAAGACCAGACCAAACCAUCGGUCCUAAAGCUCUAUAUACGACCCCAACCCCCAUCAAACCAUUGAGAAAUGAUCAAACGGUCACGUUUUUUUGUGAGUAAGUCAAACGGUCAUGUUAAUUUGGGAAUAAACCAGGCGUACCAACCAAAAUGGCAUAGGCGAAGUGGGAGUCGACAAGCCCGUGCAUAUAUUCACAUGUAUGAUGUAUACGCUACUUGUAAUCAUACUGUGACACUAAGGACUAAAGGAGGGGAAAACCAGGGCACAACUACCUUUGACAAUGAACCUCAUUCGCAUGUGUCCUAUCAUGAAUCCACCGGCUUUAAAAAUGGAGUAGCUUUAUUCAUGUGUGUAAGUCAGCCAAAAGUAUUGGCCGGAAGCAAUCAAUCAUUUGCACUUCGACCAGUUUACAUGUACAAAACAUAAGUUGGCCGAGGGGCACGCAACGAGGCCGUGGAAGACACGGUGACUAGUAGCACACGAUUUGACGCCCUCCAAUUCUAUCCUGAUCUAGUAGAGUGCAUAUGUUCUUAUUAUUCACAUGUCUUGGGCAGGACACACAAAGUACACAAUUUAUUUUGGUCGACCAAGAUAUCAUGAUAGUGUGACAGUAGUUACCUGUAAUUAGUUGUCUUGAAUCUAUGUACCACCAAAGCUCCAAGCUCAAAGAUGUUCACAAUACUUCAUAUGUGACAUGAGUCUGCCUACAAACAAUUAUCAGCAUAAAGUUGAAACAACUAUUAGACGAUGUACUUUUUUAUUCACAUUUGUCUUGAUAAGUAAUGUGUUCAGGCGAAUGAAAUUAAACUUGGAAGAUGUACAUGUUGAGUCAGCAAACUAAUCCUAGAUUAUCGAGAUUUGAUACGGUUCUAUCUCUUCACGCUUUGGCAGCUCAUGGUUGUACCUUUUCCAAGACUCGGUUUUGGUAAUAGCAUUCCACGUAAUUACCCUCCUCUCUUUUUUCUAAAAAAAUCAUCUCGUCCUUAUUCAACCAUUGGUUCAACACCAACAGAUGGAAAAUUGAUGCACAAAUUAUUUUACCGGUGGCAAAAUUAUAAUUCGGUGGAAGGAAAUUGAGAAAAAUGCAAUCAUUGUAUAUAAUGUGCCUUGUAUUAGAACCUAGGGAAUACAUUCCUUGUAUUAGAUUUAUUCAAUGUUUUGUAACCCAUAUAAACCCCCAACAUAUAUAAAUACACUCUAGGAAUUCCAACUAUUAGCCCCCAAAAAUGUUCUUGUACCGCAACAAUAGUUAUCGAAAGGUGGUUACCGAUUGAUGCUUUUCGACAUUGUGAAUGCUGAGCCAAAAUCCGUCGAGAGGAACUUAAUUUGAAAUAUGCAGAUGCAAAGUUUGCAGAGAUCCAGAUCAUCCAGGUAUGAGAUGGUGGCCUCUUCUCACACUUUAGCAACUCCAGAUUGUUCUUUAUUGGACUCUAUUUCGGUAAGUGUGGACCACUCACCAAAACAAAAUUAACCUUCUCCUAUUUUAUUUUAUUUUGAAAAUAACUCCCCUUCCCUUCCACACACUACUACCGAAACACGAACAAGUGUUUUGUGGAAGUUAGGAUAUUUAUCGCGUGACGACUAUAAAUGGGGGGGGGGGAGCGGCCGGAAGAGGUGCAGAUCCCCCAUCACAACCUAAAUACAAGUAAGGUGACCAAAUAUCCUAGGUGUGCUCUCAGCGAACUUCCAAUGAGAGUCAUGUUCAGAGGCAAGGUAUUAUUCGCUCGAGCAUCAUACUCUAUUGAAUCUUUGUACAAAGGUAGAUUAUUUGGGUAAUGGAACAAUUAAAUUUGUUCAUAGAUUUGUUCUCAUGCCAUUAUAAAGUUAAUUUUGUGAAUAAGUGCUCAACCUUACAAUGUAAACCUAUGUAGUUGACAAUGCUCAAGGUCUAGCCGUGAAUUUAUUGUGUGUUGCAUUCGUUCAUAGAUGAAGGUUUGUGCAAAACCAUACAUAAAAUGUACUCUUCAUUUAUGUGGUAAUUCUAAAAUUGUGACUUAAAACUAGCCAUCUUAAUCCAGAUUAAUUUCCUCAUGAAACAAUUUAGCUAUACUACUACAAAAAAUUGAAUCCAUAUUGUAUAGCUAUGAAAAACAAAACAUAAGUACUCUUCAAAACAUCACAUCAUGUCUACGAGAAUUGUAUAAAAUGGCUCCAUCCAAUGCAAAAAUUUUCAAUAUUGUAAUUUCAACCUAAGGCCGUAUCUAGUAAUGCAGCAAUAUCACUGGAAUUUGAGAGGAAAUAGUUCAAUCUUCGCUUGUCGUAAUUGGUAUGGAGGAGAUGACGCGUGCGACCUAUGGGUGUUAACUUUUCUAUACCAAGGUACUAACUAGGAUCAAUUCUUCCCCAAAAGCAAAAUCCAUUUGAAGUUCUGCAAUUACAACAUGCGCUGCCAACACUAUUAACCCCUCCCCCCUCCCUCCCAUGCACACACACAAAGAGAUUACAAAGGUUUUGCAAAUACAACGUGCUCUCCCAGCAUUAUAUAAAACCCAUCCUCCUCCUCCUGUUCUACACAUAGGGUAGUUGAUAUCCUCUCAAAUACAAACGACCAGGCACCACCUUUGCCACCUGACCGUGCCUGCAAUGGAUAUUCCAGGGACACCAUCUCAGUGCUCCAUAGUCAUGUCAUCAGCCUCUCUACUAAAGCGGUUCAGCAAUGUAGCACGGUCUCCAAAAGGGUGCCGCUACAACCCAGAGAGAUCCAGCGUUGGUAUUGUCUCGGCUGUUAUGGAACCAACCGCUGCAUGCCUACGCAUCAUCGGGCCUCUCAUCCACACCAACGCGCGUUGGAUCCUAGAGGUUACACUACUGAACCUCUGUUGGAGCAAUAGGAGGCCAUACCGAGCAGCCAUACUGUCAUGCAGUUUAUGCCGCAGGUGGAUCGUUAGUGGCACCGUCUACAUGUUCAGGUAAGAAAUUGAUUGUCAAGUCAACACUUCCCCUUAGCAUCCAGGAAAUCUUAAUUAUAUUCUACGCAUGCAUGGCGUGUUUCGUAUGUGUUGUGGCAGAGGUAAGAUGCAAUUUUGUAAACAAGAGUGUCUCUGCGACUAUAUCAUGGAGCAAUUGGAAAAAGAGACACAGAAGGUGAGAUGGUGUGGAAGAGAAAAGGUGCCAACAAUGGAGGAUAAGGAAGGCGGCCAGAGCUGCAUUUCCUUCACCUACGCUGGCAGCCUAUGAUGCACUUACAUCUAUGUUUGAGAGAUGUACAUGCUUAGAAGGACUGGAACCUAUUUUACACAACUGUAUAACUUGGUGCUUUUGUAAGUAAUAGAACACCUGAUGGUUAGUAAAUAGUUAUACACUUUUGACGUGGUACGAGCAUAUCUCUUCCUUCACAUGGAAUGAGGCAUGCAUACGCUUGAGAUAGUGUUCACCG
rnacentral:lncRNA from 1 species